rnacentral:misc_RNA from 1 species
GCAACCGGCCCGGCGAGCCCAUCGACCUCGCCCGCGCCAUGCUGUUCCUCUGCUCCGACGAUUCGGACUUCAUUGUCGGGGCCGAGCUGUUCGUCGACGGCGGUUGCGCCGCCAUGAUGCCGGGAGGUGAUGCGGGCGGAUGAUGCCGUGAUGUCGAUGCGGCGGAUGCAAUCCCCCCACCCGAAGCUCCUCGCGCUGAUGCGCUCCGGCGCUUCGACCUCCCCACGAGGGGAGGCGGGUUGAAAGGGGCACGCUUAUUGGGUGUUUGGCGGACGCCUGGGAUCACACGGAAGGGGGUCGCGGUCAUGGGGCGUUCCGCGCAUAAUGCGUCCAGCCGAACCGCUGUCCGGAGCUGUCGAUGAUCCGCCAUGUGCUUUUUGCUUUUCUCCUGUCGCUUGCCGCCUCUGCCGCCGCCGCCCAGACGACGGCGUGGCCGAACUUCAAGGAAGACGACUACGUUCUCAAGAAUUUCCGCUUCGGGAGCGGCGAGACGCUGCCCGAGCUGCGCAUGCAUUAUCGCACGCUCGGUACGCCGAAGCGCAACGCGGCGGGCGAGAUCAUCAACGGCGUGGUGCUCCUCCACGGGACCAGCGGCGCUGGCACUUCAUGGUUACUGCCGUCGCUCGCCGACGAGCUGUACAAGCCGGGCCAGCCGCUCGAUGCCGCCGAGCACUUCAUUAUCAUCCCGGACUCCAUCGGCGUGGGCGGCUCGUCGAAACCGAGUGAUGGGCUACGCG